UACGAAGGGGGCUAGCGUUGCUCGGAAUCACUGGGCGUAAAGCGCGCGCAGGCGGUCCUUUAAGUCAGGGGUGAAAGCCCAGAGCUCAACUCUGGAACUGCCUUUGAAACUAGAGGACUUGGGUACGGGAGAGGUGAGUGGAAUUCCGAGUGUAGAGGUGAAAUUCGUAGAUAUUCGGAAGAACACCAGUGGCGAAGGCGGCUCACUGGCCCGUUACCGACGCUCAGGCGCGACAGUGUGGGGAGCAAACAGG
rnacentral:rRNA from 1 species